rnacentral:rRNA from 1 species
GAGUUUGAUCGUGGCUCAGAACGAACGCUGGCGGCAGGCUUAACACAUGCAAGUCGAACGCGUGUAGCAAUACACGAGUGGCGCACGGGUGAGUAACGCGUGGAUAUCUGCCUUUUGGUUCGGAAUAACCCCGGGAAACUGGGGCUAAUACCGGAUGGUUCCUUCGGGAUAAAGAUUUAUCGCCAAAAGAUGAGCCCGCGUACGAUUAGCUAGUUGGUGAGGUAAUGGCUCACCAAGGCGACGAUCGUUAGCUGGUCUGAGAGGACGAUCAGCCACACUGGGACUGAGACACGGCCCAGACUCCUACGGGAGGCAGCAGUGGGGAAUAUUGGACAAUGGGGGCAACCCUGAUCCAGCCAUGCCGCGUGAGUGAUGAAGGCCUUC